rnacentral:antisense_RNA from 1 species
UGUUAUGGCAGUUGUGCGCGGGACACCUCAGGGUGUGCCGGGCGUUUCGUCUUGAUGUUCCAACCGGUCGACUAACCCGCGUGCAACUGCCACCUUU